CCUACGGGCGGCAGCAGUAGGGAAUUUUCGGCAAUGGGGGGAACCCUGACCGAGCAACGCCGCGUGAACGAAGAAGUUAUUCGUAAUGUAAAGUUCUUUUAACAGGGAAGAAAGAGAAAUUUGACGGUACCUGAAGAAUACGCUCCGGCUAACUCCGUGCCAGCAGCCGCGGUAAUACGUAGGGAGCGAGCGUGAUCCGGAAUUAUUGGGCGUAAAGGGUGCGUAGAUGGCAUACAAAGUCUGUUGUAAAAAUGCUGGGCGCAACCCAGUAGGGCAAAAGAUACUGCAAAGCUAGAGUAUGAGAGAGGCAAGUGGAACUACAUGUGUAGCGGUAAAAUGCGUAAAUAUAAGUAAGAACACCAGUGGCGAAGGCGGAUUGCUGGGUCGAUACUGACAGUGAGGCACGAAAGCGUGGGGAGCAAACAGGAUUAGAUACCCGUGUAGUC
rnacentral:rRNA from 1 species